AAACGCCGUAUACGAGACCCGUACGUACGGUGUUGUGAGAGGGGCGAAAAUAAGUAAACUUAUUUUCCCUCUACUCGAU
rnacentral:sRNA from 1 species